UUUGUCUCAGGACUGCGGGCUCCCGCUAGUCCCUCCCCACUUCCCACACCCUGGUUUCCAGGGACCAGGCCUCCCACCUGCCCUGGAAAGUGAGCAGAGGAGGAAGGAGGACCCCGCUUUGUUUAAGGCUUGGGGACAGGAGGGGGGUGCGGCUUACCAACCUCCUUCUCCAACACAGACAAACAUCCUAGUGGAGUUCCUGUCCGUGGUUAAGUCAGCAGAUGUUUAUUCAAGUGCAGAGUGAUUAAAGUUCCAGACAGAGAAUGUUCAAGAAAUGUUUGUUGAAUGACUAAAGCUCUAUUGCUUUGACUUUGACCUCAGGAAAGUAUUUCAUUAAACCUUUUUUUAGUAAAGUAAAACGAGAAUUUAUAAUGGAAGAAAUAGUUUUUCAGGAACUAACCAUAUCUCCACUUGCUUUAUAGUAUAAUACCUCUCUGGGAGUAAGCAAAUUAAGAGCAAGAUGAUUACAAGUGCUCAUGGGAUUGGGACAUAGGGACCAAAUUGUCCAUAGAGCAGGAUUUCAUCUGGACCACAAUGACCUAUCCCUGACUGACCUCUGAGGAAACAGCUAUAACUUAAGACAUGAAGAAUACAGUUUCCAGAUGUAUAUAACAGGAACUACAAAGGACUAUAGGAAUCUUGAGAAAAAAGUGCGCCAUGAAGAAAGUGAUAUUGCAGUGCAAAUGCAGUAAACUCUCUUGGGACACAGAAAAACUUGCAUUCUGAAGUGGAGCCAUGAGAAAUAUUUUUGACAUAUUCCAAGUUUUUAUUAAUCAAUUCCAGAACAGAAGGAUCAAUAAGGAACACUGUCUCCAAUCUCCAGCUGAUGUUUCCCACUGGCUGAACCCAACUGGAAACCAAAGGGCAAAGGAGCUCAGCUAAUGCAGUCCAUGGAAGUCAGCCUCCCAAGUCACAGAGUAUGAUGAAGAAAGGUCUGGAGAGGCAAACACAGAAUAUCCUACAUACUGGGCUAUGAAGUUUAUAUCUUAUUCCACAGGUAUGCUAUGUGGAGAACUUGGUUAUAUUGGUACUUCAGAAGGAAAAAUAACUAACAAUAGCAGGUUAAACAAAACUAGACACACUAGGGACAGAAGAGUUCUUAAGUACUGAAGUGUUCAAAAUGGAGACUGAUGACAUGUGCUUUGAAAAAGGAAAUAUUAUACUAUUAUUUGCUUAUAUAUCUUCUGUUUGUGUCUUAAUCUCUCUUAACCUCAAAGCCCCCCAAUUUGUGAGUUCCUGGAAAGCAAUGAUUGAACUUCAUUCACCAUUUUGUUUCACAGCCUAAUAUUGUGUUUGGUGUAUUGUAAGUUUUCAACAAAUACUCAACAAAUGAAUGGCUGGUCUAAAAUGGCCAUACAGUUAAAGUCAAUAGGUUAAAAAAGGAAAAAAGACUAUAGUUAUUCCAAAACAUUGCCUGGGAGAUACUUGGAAUGAAAAUUUAAGGGAAAUAAAUAAGUCAGUGGACAGGCAGAGUAAGAUGCUGGUAGAAAUAAUCUGGUGGCUACAGACUCCACUGAUAACUGAGUCAAGCUAAAAUACGCCAUGAAAGAAAAAGCACUGUAGAAAUGGAAGUAAAGAUCUAAGAAAAAAUUCUGGUACUUUUUACAGGCAGUAUCCCUCAGUUUCUUACAGGAACUAAAACUCUAAAUUCUUAACUCAUAUUAUCUUUAAACAUACCCCUGUAAAAUGACAUGGUAGUACUUAUUUUUUUAAAAAUUUUAAAGUCUUCAAUAACUGAUUUUUUCAAUUUUUUAUAAAUUAGCAAACCUAAGAAUCAGAAACACUAGCCAUAAUACCCUCCAGGUAGCCUUCGCCUUCUGCCUCUCAGCACCUUUCCCUCUAGUAGAAACAUCACUCUUUUAUUUAGUCCUAAGCCACUGAACUCAUAAAUAUGAUCGUCAAUGGUGAGGAAGCUGCGUCUAUUAAAGAGUUUAUUACAGCUAUUUGGCCUGAAAACUACAGUCUAAAGUCUGAGAAUAAAUGGAAAAAUUUCAAAAAUCUUUUCAUUCUAAUGCAAGAAAUUCUUUCACCUUUUUCCUCAGUAAAGGCAAAAAUAGUAGAGGGUAGGAGAAGAGGGACACUAGUAUUUAUCAAAGCUUGCCAUAUUAGACCAGACUGCCAAAUGUAAUAUUCAUCCUCCAGCAAUGACCUUUUUCCUUUAGAGUAAAAUGGAGUGAGCCCCCCCAUAGUCAAAGAUCAAGGAAAAUUACUAAGUGACUGAUUAAAAAAUUUCAAAAACUUUUGUUUCACAUGACCUAAAUGAAUAAAAGAUUAAUUUCCAGUUCUCAUGAUGGUGUAAAAAAUUGUUCACUGUAAAUAAUUACUGUCAAAUUUGAAAUACAAACUCAUCUUUCAAGUCAUUCCUCCUUCCAAUCCAAAACACAGAUUACUAAAUAUAAUGCAACGCUAUCCUAGCAUACAACCCUAUAAGUGACCUUGUAGGUAACAAGAACAGCCAAUAUCUGCAGGCACAGGUGUCAAGAAUAUAAGGUUUGGAUUACUCAGUGCUUUAUACAAACUUUUCUUUGUCUUCCCUCCACUUAGGCAUCAAUCUUAUUAUUUUC